ACCCUGCCCAAAGUACGGCUUCUCAGUUCGCAGCUCUCUUCCACUCGCGGCGUCCAGAGGAGGGCGGUGGGCUGGAGAGCGUGGGCCUGGGGUGACGGAAUGCUCUGUGCGGGGAUCGCAGGCCCCCGAGCUGCAGGGGGCAGCAAAGCGCGCCCACCUGCCCGCCUGCCCGAGGAGAACACCGCAGCUCUGCUAAUCGAGGGACAGCCGCAACCCAAAGUUCGGCAGCUUUCCGCCUGAGCUUCCCCUCCCUGAGCGAGGACACUGGAGGGAGGCAGAGACGGAGAGCCCAUGGGCAGAUCUGCAUCCUCCAAAAGCCUCCAUAGCCUCUGGGAAGGAAAUGUAUCGAGGAGGCCUGGAGGGAAGCAGGGAGACACCCAUGAGUCUAAUGAGAUCAAGUGGCCUGAGUGGGUUGAAGUCCUUGGAUCAGACCGUGGAAGCUGGAAUGGAGAGAGAUUUCGGAGGGGCAGCCAGACCUGGAGUGCCGCCAACCCAUUGCCCUUGAGAUGGAGACCACCUCUUUGGUAUUGCAAAGAAGGUCCUUCGUAAUCAUCUAUCCCUCAUCCUCACCCUUCUGCUCCAUUUGAAAGGCCCUCCAGAACAACAUGUCAUUCCUGGGAACCAUCUUUGGUAUUGCAAAGAAGGUUCUUCAUGAUCAUCGUCCCCCAUCCUCACCCUCCUGCUUCAUUUGAAAGGCCCUCCAGAACAAUGUGUCACUACCAGAAACCAUUCGCUAUCUCUGUUCCUUGUUUGUAUUUCUGCACUGGAAAUGGCCUUACAGCUCCACACUCAUCCUUCAGACAUGCAGCUCCUUGGUGACCCCAUCUGCUGGGUGCUGGCCUAUGUCACAUCCAGGUUGCUUUUUAUUCAUUGUCUCAUCUACCAGCCCAUGCCUCCCCAAGGGCAGGGCUGGUCCUGGUUCACUAACCCAUCCCCAGCACCCAUUGGAAUGCUCUAGACUUCAGCCCAGUGAGUCACUAAGAAAGGACAGAUACCUUGGCAGAAGAGCUGAGGAAAGCCCAGGUCCCUGUCUUCAGGCCAAGGCUCUCUUCCCAUUUGACCAACCCUGGCAUAUGUGUGUGUGUUGCAUUGAGGAAUUAUUUCAAGGUAUCUUUGAAUCCAUUCGGAUUCUUGGCCAGGUGCAGUGGCUCACACCCAUAAUCUCAGCACUUGGGGAAGCCAAGGUAGGCAGAUUGCUUGAGCACAGGAAUUCAAGACCAGCCUACAAAAAAUAAUAAAAAAUAAAUAAAUAGUCCAUUUGGAUUUUUAUAUCAUCUAUGGAUAGGAUAAAUAAUAUGCCUCAUAAUAUAUGCCCUAAUAUUUUUCAAAUAUAUGUAGCUGCCUCUGUGAUGAAUAAAAUAGAAAUAAUC
rnacentral:lncRNA from 1 species